rnacentral:snRNA from 1 species
AGCUUCGUGAGUGGCAGUAUCGUAGCCAAUGAGGUUUAUCCGAGGUGCAAUUAUUGCUAAUUGAAAGUUGAGUAUAAAAUCA